AUCACUUCAUUUCAAUUGAAAUUAUAUUAUUUUCUUAUUUAACCCGAAUCCGAUCCACUAAAUUAAAUUAAUUCAUAUCAAAUUACAUCUCCAAACCCAUAUCUCCAAUAGUCUUCAUACCUGUAUGCUUCCGAAGUUUCACCCAAUAAAAUAAAUUGCAUAUGAUAAAAUCGUGAUUAUAAAGGUCAAGACAUCCUUAUUAUUGUCAGUGAAAUGAGAUCCUUCUUCAUCACCACCCUUAUUAUAUUUCUUAUUUUCUUAGUUUUAGGUUUUCUGGGUAAUGCAUUUUGGGGGUAUGGUUUCCAUCCAUCUGGAAACGCUGCCUUUUUAUGCAGUUGGUCUUGGAGAUGAUUUUCUCCUCCACGUGCUUGAUGGGCCUGCUUUGAAGGUAGACAAAUUGAAGCUAUUGUAGAGGGUGCAUGUAUGGUUUUUUUUCAUUAUCCUAAUUAGGACUUCGGAAGUAUUCACGUCAUCAAAACUCCAUGGUGUUUUAAUGGAAGAAGGAAAUGAAGAAAAUUGAAGAGGUGGAUUUUGAGAUUUAAUUUGAUAUGAAUUUAUUAAAUAAGAAAAUUGAGUAAUUUUAAUUGAAAUUAGAUGAUUUUUAUUGAGAAUUUUGUUAACUUGAGAGGUAUAUAUGUUAAGUUUGUUAACGGCGGGAUAUAUUUAGCUUCAUAGUAUUAUGAAGGAUAAAUUUAGCUAAUUUUUAACCUUUUGAAGAUAAUAAAUGAACCGCACAUGUUUAGAUAUACACUUGAUUUUUUUUACUUUUUCAAUGCAUACAUGACUAUUAGAAUUUUCUAGAGCUUAGAUUGGUUUUAUUUUGAGGAUCUCAUAAACUCUUUCCGA
rnacentral:lncRNA from 1 species